rfam:Betaproteobacteria bacterium RIFCSPLOWO2_02_FTLL_66_14 rifcsplowo2_02_scaffold_1518, whole genome shotgun sequence.
UCGCGGGUGAGUGCAAAUCUGAAGGAAGCUGAAGGCAAAGCGCUGUCCCGAGGAACACGAAGCGGAUACAGGCGGCGUAGCGGGGCAAGACGGCCCAUAUCGUCGAAGCCCGAUACUUGCACGGAACGCUACGACGUAAAUCCGACGGGCAUAAGCGUGACGGUCGCGCGU